UACGUAGGGAGCAAGCGUUGUCCGGAAUCAUUGGGCGUAAAGCGCGCGUAGGUGGCUUCGUAAGUCCGUUGUGAAAGUCAAAGGCUCAACCUUUGAAAGCCGAUGGAUACUGCGGAGCUAGAGUACGGAAGAGGCGAGUGGAAUUCCUGGUGUAGCGGUGGAAUGCGCAGAUAUCAGGAGGAACACCAAUAGCGAAGGCAGCUCGCUGGGACGGUACUGACGCUAAGGCGCGAAAGCGUGGGGAGCGAACAGG
rnacentral:rRNA from 1 species